rnacentral:rRNA from 1 species
AAAUAAGCUAUUAAGGGCUAAUGGUGGAUGCCUAGACUAUAAGAGGCGAUGAAGGACGUACUAGACUGCGAUAAGCUACGGGGAACUGUCAAGAAGUUUUGAUCCGUAGAUUUCCGAAUGGGACAACCCAGCAUACUAUGUAUGUUACUACUUCGGUAGAGCGAACCAAGGGAAGUGAAACAUCUCAGUACCUUGAGGAAGAGAAAUCAAUUGAGAUUCUGUUAGUAGCGGCGAGCGAAAACGGAUUAGAGCGGUUAUAUUUAGCAUUUUUGUUAGUAGAAGUUGUUGGAAUGCAACGCGAUACAGAGUGAAAGCCUCGUAUACGAAAACAUUAAUGUGGAACUAAGAUAACGAACGAGUAGGUCGGAACACGUGAUAUUUUGACUGAAUAUGGGGGGACCACCCUCCAACUCUAAAUACUACUUAUAGAUCGAUAGUGCACAAGUACCGUGAGGGAAAGGUGAAAAGUACCCCAGUGAGGGGAGUGAAAUAGAACCUGAAACCAUUAGCUUACAAUCAUUCGGAGCCCUAUGUCUUGUACAGGGUGACGGACUGCCUUUUGCAUAAUGAGCCUGCGAGUUGUGGUAUAUGGCAAGGUUAAGUCAAGUACGAAGCCGUAGCGAAAGCGAGUGUGAAUAGCGCGAAUUAGUCAUAUGCUGCAGACCCGAAACGAAGUGAUCUAUCCAUGAGCAGGUUGAAGCUGGUGUAAGAGCCAGUGGAGGACCGAACCCGCAGGCGUUGAAAAGUCUUGGGAUGACUUGUGGAUAGGGGUGAAAGGCCAAUCAAACUUCGUGAUAGCUGGUUCUCUCCGAAAUAUAUUUAGGUAUAGCGUCAUGUUAUUAGCAUAUAGGGGUAGAGCACUGACUGGGCUAGGGCUACUUACCGUGGUACCAAACCCUAUCAAACUUCGAAUACUAUAUGUGGAAUCAUGGCAGUCAGGCGUAGGGUGAUAAAAUCCUAUGUCGAGAGGGGAACAACCCAGACUAACAGCUAAGGUCCCUAAGUCGUACUUAAGUGGAAAACGAUGUGAAGUUACUGUGACAACCAGGAAGUUGGCUUAGAAGCAGCCAUCUUUUAAAGAAAGCGUAACAGCUCACUGGUCUAGUGAUUUUGCGCGGAAAAUAUAACGGGGCUAAAGUACGCACCGAAGCUUUAGAUGCACAAUUUAUUGUGCGUGGUAGGAGAGCGUUCUAUUCAGCAUUGAAGCGAUACCGGUGAGGAGUCGUGGAGCGGAUAGAAGUGAGCAUGCAGGCAUGAGUAGCGAUAAUUAAAGUGAGAAUCUUUAACGCCGAAAACCCAAGGUUUCCUACGCGAUGCUCGUCAUCGUAGGGUUAGUCGGGUCCUAAGUCGAGUCCGAAAGGGGUAGACGAUGGCAAAUAGGUUAAUAUUCCUAUACUUAUAAUAGAGCGUGAUGUGGGGACGCAUAGAGUUAAUCGAGCUGGCUGAUGGAAUAGCUGGUCGAAGGAUGUAGGUUGAGAAGUAGGCAAAUCCGCUUCUCACUAGACCGAGAUCUUACAGGCCGAACAAACUCUUCGGAGAGCGUUUGGAAUCGAUGAUACUGUCGUGCCAAGAAAAGCCACUAAGCAUAUCUAUUAUAACCCGUACCGUAAACCGACACAGGUAGGUGGGAUGAGUAUUCUAAGGCGCGUGGAAGAACCCUGGUUAAGGAACUCUGCAAACUAGCACCGUAUCUUCGGUAGAAGGUGUGCCUACUUAGGUAUUAGGGAUUUACUCCCGAAAGCCUGAGAGGUUGCAACAAAGAGUCCCUCCCGACUGUUUACCAAAAACACAGCACUUUGCUAACUCGCAAGAGGAUGUAUAAGGUGUGACGCCUGCCCGGUGCUCGAAGGUUAAUUGAUGAUGUCAGCGUAAGCGAAGCAUUUGAUCGAAGCCCGAGUAAACGGCGGCCGUAACUAUAACGGUCCUAAGGUAGCGAAAUUCCUUGUCGGUUAAAUACCGACCUGCAUGAAUGGCGUAACGAGAUGGGAGCUGUCUCAACCAGGGAUCCAGUGAAAUUGUAGUGGAGGUGAAAAUUCCUCCUACCCGCGGAAAGACGGAAAGACCCCGUGCACCUUUACUAUAGCUUUACACUGCUAUUGGGAUAUUCAUGUGCAGGAUAGGUGGGAGACUUUGAAACUCGGAUGCUAAUUCGAGUGGAGUUGUCCUUGAGAUACCACCCUUGAAUAUUCUGAUAGCUAACUGGGACGUAUUAUCUACGUUCAGGACAAUGUAUGGUGGGUAGUUUGACUGGGGCGGUCGCCUCCUAAAAAGUAACGGAGGCUUACAAAGGUUGGCUCAAACCGGUUGGAAAUCGGUUGUUGAGUAUAAUGGCAUAAGCCAGCCUGACUGUAAGACAUACAUGUCGAGCAGAGACGAAAGUCGGUCAUAGUGAUCCGGUGGUUCUGUGUGGAAGGGCCAUCGCUCAAAGGAUAAAAGGUACGCCGGGGAUAACAGGCUGAUCUCCCCCAAGAGCUCACAUCGACGGGGAGGUUUGGCACCUCGAUGUCGGCUCAUCGCAUCCUGGGGCUGAAGCAGGUCCCAAGGGUAUGGCUGUUCGCCAUUUAAAGCGGUACGCGAGCUGGGUUCAGAACGUCGUGAGACAGUUCGGUCCCUAUCUUCCGUGGGCGUAGGAAAGUUGAGGAGAUUUGCCCCUAGUACGAGAGGACCGGGGUGAACGUACCACUAGUGUACCAAUUGUUCUGCCAAGAGCAUCGUUGGGUAGCUACGUACGGGUGAGAUAAGCGCUGAAAGCAUCUAAGCACGAAGCCGACUCCAAGAUGAACUUUCCCUGAAGAUCCCAGCAAGACUAGCUGGUUGAUAGGAUAGAUGUGUAAGUGCUGUAAGGCAUUUAGCUGACUAUUACUAAUAGAUCGUUUGGCUUAUUUUU